rfam:Capsicum annuum cultivar Zunla-1 chromosome 12, whole genome shotgun sequence
CUGCUGUGAUGAUACUCAGAACUUAUUGAAAGUCUUGGUACUUGAUGAAACCAUCAACAUUAUGUUGAUCCUGAGCGGUUACCUGAGCAG